AGCUCCAAUAGCGUAUACUAAAGUUGUUGCAGUUAAAAAGCUCGUAGUUGGAUUUCUGUUAUUAAAAAUCGGUCGUGUCCUCACGGAUUCUGUACCAGGUUUCUUAAUUGCAUCUUCAAGGUUCUGGUAUCUGGUAUUAAUUUAUCGGGUAUUCGGUCCUUGUCAUUUACUGUGAGCAAAAUAGAGUGUUCAAAGCAGGCUUAGGCCAUGAAUACAUUAGCAUGGAAUAAUAAGAUAGGACCUUGGUCUAUUUUGUUGGUUUACAUUCCAAGGUAAUGAUUAAUAGGGAUAGUUGGGGGUAUUUGUAUUCAAUUGUCAGAGGUGAAAUUCUUGGAUUUAUGGAAGACAAACUACUGCGAAAGCAUUUACCAAGGAUGUUUUCAUUAAUCAAGAACGAAAG
rnacentral:rRNA from 1 species